rnacentral:rRNA from 1 species
AACGAACGCUGGCGGCAUGCCUAGCACAUGCAAGUCGAACGAGACCUUCGGGUCUAGUGGCGCACGGGUGCGUAACGCGUGGGAACCUGCCCUUAGGUUCGGGAUAACUCCCCGAAAGGGGUGCUAAUACCGGAUAAUGUCUUCGGACCAAAGAUUUAUCGCCUUUGGAUGGGCCCGCGUUGGAUUAGCUAGUUGGUAGGGUAAAAGCCUACCAAGGCGACGAUCCAUAGCUGGUCUGAGAGGAUGAUCAGCCACACUGGGACUGAGACACGGCCCAGACUCCUACGGGAGGCAGCAGUGGGGAAUAUUGGACAAUGGGCGAAAGCCUGAUCCAGCAAUGCCGCGUGAGUGAUGAAGGCCUUAGGGUUGUAAAGCUCUUUUACCCGGGAUGAUAAUGACAGUACCGGGAGAAUAAGCUCCGGCUAACUCCGUG